CGGCAGCAAGUAGAGACCAAAACAUUUCCCAAUAUUGAGUUAGAGGAAAACCAACAGUACGACGACGGUGCACUUGUUUUGGUGAGGCGGCAUCAGCUUUUCCUGGCAGCAAAUUUACUCCUACCAAAACAGCCGAGUAUUUCAGAUGCUUUUAUAACGGCUUCAGUGAAGAAACCAUAAGCUGGUAUCCAUACCAAAGAGCUAAACCACUCUUUGAACAUCCCAUUUGCUUCAACUCGACGACCAACUCUUUCAACAAUGAGCUC
rnacentral:lncRNA from 1 species